UGGGUCGGCUGGACGGUCGCGUGGCGCGAGAGCGCACCGAGGAACGUCCGGGCUCCACAGGGCAGGGCGGUGGGUAACACCCACCCGGAGUGAUCCGCGAGACAGUGCCACAGAGAGCAGACCGCCCCGGUUCCGACCGGGGUAAGGGUGAAAGGGUGGUGUAAGAGACCACCGGGGUCGUGGUGACACGACCCGCACGGUAAACCUCGCCCGGAGCAAGGUCAGACAGGGGAUGCCGACGCGGCCCGCCGAGUCCCCGGGUAGACCGCUGGAGCGGCACGGCAACGUGUCGCCGAGAGAGAUGACCGUCCACGGGGUUUCGACCCCCGGACAGAACCCGGCGUACAGGCCGGCCCAUUCG
rnacentral:RNase_P_RNA from 2 species